rnacentral:lncRNA from 1 species
AAUUUUGUGAUAAGAAAUAAAAGCAUCCCAUCAUUUCCUAUGAAUUGAAAUAUAUGGCUGAAAGCUUAAGAGAUAAAUCGUUUAAUUGAUAUUUUUUACAUCAAGAUGCAGUGCAAAAAUCAUAAUAUAUAUUCUAAGGAUAAUAUAGCACAUAUAAGCAGAACUAUACAUUGUUGUUUCUUAACUUUAAUUGAACUUUCAUUAAUAAACUAUAUUCACUAAACAUCAAAAUAGAAACACAAAAUGCGCCUGUAGCUCAGUGGAUAGAGCGUCUGUUUCCU